UCGGGAAUUUUGGGCAAUGGGCGAAAGCCUGACCCAGCAACGCCGCGUGAGGGAUGAAGUAUUUCGGUAUGUAAACCUCGAAAGAAUGGGAAGAAUAAAUGACGGUACCAUUUAUAAGCUCCGGCUAACUACGUGCCAGCAGCCGCGGUAAUACGUAGGGUGCAAGCGUUGUUCGGAUUUACUGGGCGUAAAGGGCGCGUAGGCGGCGCGGUAAGUCACUUGUGAAAUCUCUGAGCUUAACUCAGAACGGCCAAGUGAUACUGCUGUGCUAGAGUUCGGAAGAGNCAACCGGAAUUCGUGGUGUAGUGGUGAAAUGCGUAGAUAUCAAGAGGAACACCUGAGGCGAAGGCGGGUUGCUGGGCCGACACUGACGCUGAUGCGCGAAAGCCAGGGGAGCAAACG
rnacentral:rRNA from 1 species